rnacentral:lncRNA from 1 species
UUCGAUCCAUCAACUCUGCCUUAUUUUGAUGUUGUCAAAAUUGUCACCUGGUUAGAUUCCUUUUAAUCAUCAUAAAAAAGGACAUCAAAUGGUUAUGCAUGGGAUCAAGAUCCAUUUGACUCAAUUUAGAGCAUAAAAUCCUGGGGUCCUCAGCUUUUUUGUAAGCUUUAUUUACUAGUAGUAGUUUGUGGUCUACAUUUGCUAUUAUAUAUACCUUUUCUGAUACAGUUGAGGUUAACUAUUGACCUGUAAACAAGGCAGACAGAUGGAUGACCAAAACUUUUGACCAGGCAGACAAGCUUUAUUCACAAUCACUUAGAAUACGGUAUGCUAUCCCCUUAGGCAGUUCAAAUUCUGCAGCAGUUGGAUAUAUAUGUAUAUAUGAACCAGAAAAGAAUAGAGAUUUUCCAACUGUAGGAUUAAGAGGUUUAAGAAUGCAGCAGCUCUGUAAACUAAGUGGUUAAGAAAUCAAUCAAAAUCUUGGCGGAUGCACUCUAUGGAUCAUUUCAGCGACAACAACUGCAUUAUUGGUGUAAUCACUUUAUGGUUGCCUUUCUUUCUUCUUGUAUCAUGACUGGUGUUAGCACUGCAGCAACUUUGUUUGAUUUUCUGGGAUGCAACGACAUAAUGAUUAAUUAACAACUUUGAACUAUUGAGUAUAUAGUCUAAGAAAUUUUGCUAGUACUCCACUAUAAUUUAAACACACUCCAUGUUCAUGAAGCUCUAACCAUUUGCUAAUGCUUGUAGGUUCGAUUCAAUAUGUGUUUGUAUUAAAAAAACACAUUCUACUCCGGCGUUUGCCCAUUUUCGGGUUGCCAACAGUUCUACUUUCUAAUUUUAUGGAUGAGUAGGCUUCGCUCCACUUUUCUAGCUUCAGCUUUUUCAAAAUCAGCUUCGCUUAUUGUCUUGGAUUUGGUAACAGAAUUCUUCUUUUCUUUUUCAUUUUGCGCCUUUUUCCCCCUAUAUAAAAAAUGAAUGAAAGAUGAGCUUAUAAAUUUCUUUUUAUGUUUUACUAAUAAUUAAAUUAUAUAAGAUUUGCCAAGAGAAAUUGUCUUAGACCUUCUUCUAUAACAUAGGCUAAAUCCCAACGCAGCAUCAAUAACAAAAGAACAUACAUGCAUUUGUGUAGAAAUGUAGCACCUAAAACCUGGAAAAUGAUCCUGAUACCAAAAAAUGGUACUUGAAAAAACAAGUGACUUCCAAUUCCUUGUAAUGUCAUUGAAGUUGCUGACAUUUCAAUAUCAUACUCUUGAAAGACAAUGAAUACACUAUUUAACAAUCAAAAGAGCAGUCCUUUUAAAAUGUUAGAAAAAACCUGUACUUUAACAGCGCAAAAGGGAAAGAAUACAUGCUAUCAUGUGCGCACGAUAUUUGUAAUACUGACUUUUAAUAAAUGAAAAAUUCUGUAACAAGAGACGUAAAAUAAGAAAGAAGUCUGAUGGAAUGCCUCUAAAUAACGAGCUAACCCCACCAUAAGUAUAUGCAAAAGAAAUGAAUGAGAUGCUAUGUAAUUCCCCACUAUAAAACAGAUGCAGCUGAUUCCGACAAAGACGCGGACCGACCAACUCAGAAAAGAAAUAUAUAUAUUUGUGAGAAAAUAAAAAAGAAGCAAUGGCUGAGUAUCAAGACUACCAAAACUUGGGACUUGUACAUGCCGACCCUUGAGGAAGAUAGGAACACCAGGACCUCCGCAUUUCUUGUUAGAGCACCAGGUCAGACCCACAAGCUGAGCCAGGAACCUUGUUUUCUUCAGUAAAUAACAGGAACAUUCCCUCCCAACCCCAAUAUACAGCAUCAGUAACAUACUAACAUCACGUUCAGUAUAAAUGGAAGGCCCUCAACACCCGAGCAAUCACCAUGACCCACCCCAUCGCAAAACAAAAUAACCCCGCCGACGGUGCUGGCACAUGUGUCUGACAACUUGAAUGCAAAUUUUUUCCAUUGUCAGAAAAUGGCAAUGACUUGACACAUGAAUGCAAUCUCGGAUCUACUCGACACAAUUACAUGCAUGCAGGGACAUGAAAAAAAGAAAAAAGUAUGUAUCAG